AACGAACGCUGGCGGCAUGCCUAACACAUGCAAGUCGAACGAGACCUUCGGGUCUAGUGGCGCACGGGUGCGUAACGCGUGGGAACCUGCCCUUAGGUUCGGAAUAACUCCCCGAAAGGGGUGCUAAUACCGGAUAAUGUCUGCGGACCAAAGAUUUAUCGCCUUUGGAUGGGCCCGCGUUGGAUUAGCUAGUUGGUAGGGUAAAAGCCUACCAAGGCGACGAUCCAUAGCUGGUCUGAGAGGAUGAUCAGCCACACUGGGACUGAGACACGGCCCAGACUCCUACGGGAGGCAGCAGUGGGGAAUAUAGGACAAUGGGCGAAAGCCUGAUCCAGCAAUGCCGCGUGAGUGAUGAAGGCCUUAGGGUUGUAAAGCUCUUUUACCCGGGAUGAUAAUGACAGUACCGGGAGAAUAAGCUCCGGCUAACUCCGUG
rnacentral:rRNA from 1 species